AUAUAAUAAUAAAAUAUUUUUUGCUGUUCUUAUAUUUCCUCCAUGCGCAGAACCUGAGAAGAUGUAAUGGAAAAAUAUUAUUACCUUGUAAUAUUUAAUUUUGUUGCAGAUGUCGAAACGUUUAUGUUGAGAUAGCGAAACAAUGGCGCAGAGCCUUGGCACUUUGUUUAUGGCUGCGUUCCGAUAUUCACUGCCAGUACUGAAAAUCUGUAACAUACGUGACCUGAACUAUAUAUUUUCGGUACUGACAAUGAAUAUUAGAAGCCUAUAUUGGGUAUUGUGGACGCGCGCGCAGCGCGCUAUCAUUUAGGCCUCUGACUCUCACAUGAAACAGACCAUCAUUAAAGAAAAUUCCUUAAGAAAAUGCAGCUUUUUCGCCAUGUCAAGACAAUAUCCGUUGGACGGAUUAUCGUUUGCAAAGAUCAUGAAUUAUCAUUAUGCUUCAAGAAAAAAAAAAA